UACGUAGGGUCCGAGCGUUGUCCGGAAUUACUGGGCGUAAAGAGCUCGUAGGUGGUUUGUCGCGUUGUUCGUGAAAACUCACAGCUCAACUGUGGGCGUGCGGGCGAUACGGGCAGACUAGAGUACUGCAGGGGAGACUGGAAUUCCUGGUGUAGCGGUGGAAUGCGCAGAUAUCAGGAGGAACACCGGUGGCGAAGGCGGGUCUCUGGGACGGUACUGACGCUGAUCUGCGAAAGCUAGGGGAGCAAACAGG
rnacentral:rRNA from 1 species